rnacentral:rRNA from 1 species
AGUCGAGCGAAUGGAUUAAGAGCUUGCUCUUAUGAAGUUAGCGGCGGACGGGUGAGUAACACGUGGGUAACCUACCCAUAAGACUGGGAUAACUCCGGGAAACCGGGGCUAAUACCGGAUAAUAUUUUGAACUGCAUAGUUCGAAAUUGAAAGGCGGCUUCGGCUGUCACUUAUGGAUGGACCCGCGUCGCAUUAGCUAGUUGGUGAGGUAACGGCUCACCAAGGCGACGAUGCGUAGCCGACCUGAGAGGGUGAUCGGCCACACUGGGACUGAGACACGGCCCAGACUCCUACGGGAGGCAGCAGUAGGGAAUCUUCCGCAAUGGACGAAAGUCUGACGGAGCAACGCCGCGUGAGUGAUGAAGGCUUUCGGGUCGUAAAACUCUGUUGUUAGGGAAGAACAAGUGCUAGUUGAAUAAGCUGGCACCUUGACGGUACCUAACCAGAAAGCCACGGCUAACUACGUGCCAGCAGCCGCGGUAAUACGUAGGUGGCAAGCGUUAUCCGGAAUUAUUGGGCGUAAAGCGCGCGCAGGUGGUUUCUUAAGUCUGAUGUGAAAGCCCACGGCUCAACCGUGGAGGGUCAUUGGAAACUGGGAGACUUGAGUGCAGAAGAGGAAAGUGGAAUUCCAUGUGUAGCGGUGAAAUGCGUAGAGAUAUGGAGGAACACCAGUGGCGAAGGCGACUUUCUGGUCUGUAACUGACACUGAGGCGCGAAAGCGUG